rnacentral:rRNA from 1 species
UGUAAGCGUAUACCAAAGUUGUUGCAGUUAAAACGCUCGUAGUCGGAGUUUGGCAGUUCCGGAUGUGUGCACGUCGUGUGCGCACUUCGCGGGGAUUGCUUUUGUGGUCUUGCGUAGGAUGAGGCACUUUUAUUAGUGAACGUCCUCACGCAACCACUUUUUACUGUGAGAAAAUCAGAGUGCUCAAAGCAGGCAUUUGCCGUGAAUGUAUUAGCAUGGAAUAAUAGAAUAGGACUUGGUUCUAUUUUGUUGGUUUGUUGGGACUGAGUAAUGAUUAAGAGGGACAGUUGGGGGCAUUUGUAUUUCGGUGCUAGAGGUGAAAUUCUUAGAUUACCGGAAGACAAACUGCUGCGAAAGCGUCUGCCAAGGAUGUUUUCAUUGA